rnacentral:rRNA from 1 species
UACGAAGGGGGCGAGCGUUGUUCGGAUUUACUGGGCGUAAAGGGCGCGUAGGCGGCCCGUUUUGUCAGGCGUGAAAGCCCUGGGCUCAACCUGGGAACUGCGCUUGGGACGGAUGGGCUUGAGAUCGGGAGAGGAUAGUGGAAUUCCGAGUGUAGAGGUGAAAUUCGUAGAUAUUCGGAAGAACACCAGUGGCGAAGGCGACUUACUGGACACAUAUUGACGCUGAGGUGCGAAAGCGUGGGGAGCAAACAGGG